CUCUUAAUUUCACAUCGCUCCAAAUCUCCAAUAUAGUUAGGGUUUUGAUCUAAUGAGGAGGUAAUCCCCCAAAGCUAAUUUCCUCUUCCGUUCAACCCCAACAUCCUUCAGAUUUUCCUCUUCCGGUUAACCCCCCAAAAUCGCAGGUCCUGGCCGAAGAUGAUGACGAUCUGUUAGAUCCGAGUCUAUUGGAGGUUAUGAUGAUCGGAGAAAACACAACCUCAGUUGUCGGAGAUUUGAACCUCUUCGAAUAAAUCGAUCCUUUUUUCUGGAACCUCUGUUGGAGGUUAUUAAUUUUCAGUCAGUGGAUAUGAAUUUCUCACUAAUGUUGAUACGCUAACUCAUAGGGAGCCUCAGUCGAUGCUUGCUGCCAUGUUCAGUGGUCGCCACACUGUUUACAAAGACCCUGAGAAAGGGUAUGUGUUUGUUGACCGGGAUGGGAUGCACUUUCGGCAUAUUUUAAAUUGGUUGACGGACGGUGUGGCUCCCAUUUCCAACUUGUCUGAUUUAGAGUGUUCAGAGCUUUUGCGGGAAGCAGAAUACUAUCAGCUUCUUGUAAGUCAACUAGGCUCGUUUACCCCUGUAUUUGCAAGCGUCAUACUGAUUGUUGCUUUUAUUGCUUAGAGUUAGUGUUAAUUGACUGAACACUUCCUCUU